AGAACGAACACUGGCGGCAGGCUUAACACAUGCAAGUCGAACGCCCCGCAAGGGGAGUGGCAGACGGGUGAGUAACGCGUGGGAAUCUACCUAGCUCUUCGGAAUAGCUCCGGGAAACUGGAAUUAAUACCGAGUACGCCCUACGGGGGAAAGAUUUAUCGGAGUUAGAUGAGCCCGCGUUGGAUUAGCUAGUUGGUGGGGUAACGCCUACCAAGGCGACGAUCCAUAGCUGGUCUGAGAGGAUGAUCAGCCACACUGGGACUGAGACACGGCCCAGACUCCGUACGGGAGGCAGCAGGUGGGGAAUAUUGGACAAGU
rnacentral:rRNA from 1 species